CUUUCAGUCCGUAGGCCGACGCUCUAUCCAUUGAGCCAAACCGGUUUCGGCUCACUGAGUUUUUUGAGCACCUUUAUUACCAUUAUUUUGAAUUCUUUGUCUGACAAAUUGCUUGCCUCCAUUUCAUUUAGUUCCUUUUCUAGCAAUUCAUCCUUUUUCAUUUGUGGGUUGUUUCUUAGUCUCCCCAUUUUUGCUAUCCCUUUGUAUUUGUUUUUAUGUAUUAGGUCAAACUGCUAUGCCUCCCAGACUUUGUGCGUUGCUCUUAUGUAGUAGGGGUUUUGUGGGACCUAGAGGUGUAGUUUCUUAGAUCUGAGCUGGGUGCUCUAGGAAAGCCCCUUGCUUGAGUUAUUUGGGUGCUCCUGUUGUAGUUGGGUCUUGAAUGUUAUUGUCCUGUUUAUGUAUGGAAUCUCCUCUCAGGCUGGUGGACUAUGUGGCUCACCCCGGAACUGACCACAAGCUGUUGUGGAGGUGCUGACUAAACAGAACAAAAUACAAUAGCAAAACACAAAACAAAAGAAACAAAACAAAAAUAUGCACAAGAUCCCUACAGCACCAAUGAAAGCAACCACCAGAGAAGAGAUAAUUAGGAAAGAAAAAGCAAGAGCAGGAAUGACAGAAGAAAAGAAAGAAAGAACAAAUAAGAGAAAACAAAACAAACAAAAACACACACAAAAGGGGGGGAGGGGAGAAAAAGGAAUAUGUAGGUGCAGAGCUGACAUAAAAUAAGAAUACUGGGUUAGGGGAAUAAGGAGAGGAAAACAGUUUAAAGUAAAGGAGGAAGAAAAGAAAAGAAGAAAAAAGGAAAGGAAAAUAGAGGAGAAAGCAAAUAAACCCAACAUAAGAAAAGGAAAAAAGAUGAGAAACCAGGUGGAAAAGAAAAGAAAGAAAACAUUUUGAGUAGGAAAAGGGAAGAGGAAAGUUACAUAUAUGAACAGAACAAUAGAGUCUAGAAUAAUAACAAGUCAAUAAAGAAGAUAAGUAAAAAAGAUACAUUUUUUAAAAAGUAAAAAAGAGAAAGAAAAAAGGGGAAGAAAAAGAAAAAAUAAAGAAGAAAGUGAAGUGGCAUUCCUUUCAGCAGAGUUUAGUGCCCCAUGGGAGCUUCCUUUGGAUCCUGCUCUUCUGAUGACUGGCUGACUGCUCUGUCUGCCAAUUCUGGGCUUCCUGUGAGGUACGUGGGUGCUAACCACUGUCAGAAACUGUCAUCAUUUGGCUUUCAGCGAUCUUCAGUUUGUGUCUUUCUCCAUAGGACUUGGCUGCAUGUGGGAGAGGCCAAGCUCCCCUGUAAAGCAGCUUUGUUAGCAGCAUGGGGUCCAGGGCUGGGUCAGCAAACUUCUCCAGGUUCUCUGGGAUCCACCUCUGCCCACCUUUGCCUGCUGGCCAGCUGUCAAUCUUAAUCAUUCAAAAGUCUGUUUCUGAAAGGUCUUUAGGUGGAAUUGGGAGUAUAGAUAUCUGGGUCUCCUGUGAUGGGGAGGUACUGUUCAGAUUUCAGGGAUUGUAGUGUGUGUGUCCCUGUUCCAGAGCUGCUACUCUGCAAGUUGCCCAAAAUAUUAGUUUGCCCUGGGCUGGGUGGAGAUCCUCGUAUGCAGUCAGUGGGGUCAGCUGGAAACCUGGAGUUUCUAUCAGCUCUCCUGUGAGGGAAAAGUACCAGUCAGGAUUCUGGAAUAGUGGGGUGUACAGCCCCUCCCCCAAUCCAAUCACAGGUGCUCCCAGAGACUAUUCAACCCAUAGGCUUGGCCUCUGCUUUUGUUUCUUCUGAAAAGGUAAAAAUGCAGGGUGUGGUAGGCAGGGCUCCUGAGGGUGGGGCAGGCUGUAGCAUGUAGGGUGGGUUUUUUCUUUUCCUGCCCUGCUGGCUACUGGGAGCAGCUAGUUCCUCUCAGGAAAAAUGGCCGAUUAGGUUUGACCACAUGCAUGACUUCUGGCUGCUGCUUUUCCACGUCUCCCUGCAAUACUUCCCACCCCAGCCUCUCCUUAGGCACUUUGUCCACACCGCCCUCCCUGCAUCAAAGCCUCAGGUGAGCGAGUAGCUGCAAAUAAAAACUCCUGCGCUCUGGGUUUAAAAAAAAAGAAAAGAAAACGAAACAGGCUUUCUCUCCCACCAGCUCCGGUCGGUCAGCUCCAGACUCUGGCAGCCAGCAGCUCUGCUGCCUUUCGCACUGGAUGUUUCAUUGGCGACCUGUCUCGGCUCUGGUUCUGAGCCUGGGUUCUAGGCCUCUAUCUUCUGAAGGAACAGACCCUCCUAUAGCCAAGAGCUUCCUCCUCACUCUCGGUCUGCCACCCCUGGAAGUGGGUCAGCUCCUCUUACAACCUCACCCUUCCUUCCAGUCUCCAAGUGUUUUCUGUCCUUCCUUGAUAUAAGUCUCCUCCUCAGUUGGACCUCAGCUGGUAAUUCUGGGUGUAUGUUCCCUGCUUUAGUUUUAUUUCCAGUGUUAACAUAAAAACCAUUGAAACCUGUAAA